rnacentral:rRNA from 1 species
CAGUCGCCACGGUAAUACGUAGGUGGCAAGCGUUGUCCGGAAUUAUUGGGCGUAAAGCGCGCGUAGGCGGUUUUUCAAGUCUGAUGUGAAAGCCCACGGCUCAACCGUGGAGGGUCAUUGGAAACUGGAAAACUUGAGUGCAGAAGAGGAAAGUGGAAUUCCAUGUGUAGCGGUGAAAUGCGCAGAGGUAUGGAGGAACACCAGUGGCGAAGGCGACUUUCUGGUCUGUAACUGACGCUGAUGUGCGAAAGCGUGGGGAUCAAACAGGAUUAGAGACCCCCGUAGUCCCUGUCUCUUAUAC